GAUGAACGCUGGCGGCGUGCCUAAUACAUGCAAGUCGAGCGAACAGACGAGGAGCUUGCUCCUCUGACGUUAGCGGCUGACGGGUGAGUAACACGUGGAUAACCUACCUAUAAGACUGGGAUAACUUCGGGAAACCGGAGCUAAUACCGGAUCAUAUAUUGAACCGCAUGGUUCAAUAGUGAAAGACGGUUUUGCUGUCACUUAUAGAUGGAUCCGCGCCGCAUUAGCUAGUUGGUAAGGUAACGGCCUACCAAGGCAACGAUGCGUAGCCGACCUGAGAGGGUGAUCGGCCACACUGGAACUGAGACACGGUCCAGACUCCUACGGGAGGCAGCAGUAGGGAAUCUUCCGCAAUGGGCGAAAGCCUGACGGAGCAACGCCGCGUGAGUGAUGAAGGUCUUCGGAUCGUAAAACUCUGUUAUUAGGGAAGAACAAAUGUGUAAGUAACUAUGCACGUCUUGACGGUACCUAAUCAGAAAGCCACGGCUAACUACGUG
rnacentral:rRNA from 1 species